CUGGAACUGAAACACCGUAUGCAUGGACCAUUGUAAUUUACUUUACUACUACAUUAAUACCAUAAUGCAAAAAGGCAACCAAAUUGAAAGGAAAAUCCUAUGGGUUAGUAUUGAUUUUAUUUAUAUAUAGCUGUGUAAUUUUUUUUUUUUAAAUUUUCUUUCUUUGUACAACUGUCCACUGGAGGGCAUCAGUUAUCUGGGAAAAAAAUCAUUCUGUAGUACUUAUUCUACAGUAUAAUACAGUUCCCAAACUUUAGGUUCAAGGCACCCUUAAUAUUUCUGUAUGUGUAUGACUUUUUUUUUUUUUUUGGCACCUCAAGUCUAGGUUUUAUCGGUACAGUGCUAUGGCACGUGUUGGUGUUUGAAGGAGUGCUUGUAUAUACUUUAACACAGGGGUGUGUUUGUAUGUAAUGUUUGACUGCAGGGGUGUGUCUGACUGUAAUUUUUUUUUUAUGCAGAUGUAAAUUUGUGUGAAGUAUGUUUGAGUGAACGUGUUUUUUAUAUAAAUUGUGUGUGUUUUUGUUUGUUUUUUGUUUUGUUUUUUUGGUGAAGGCUGUCCCUUCCCUCCAGCCAACCUUAAAAGACCCUGGCACCCGUCCGGCCCCUCUCAGCAGUUGUUUAUAUUGAUAGCACCGGGGAAACAUUCCGCGGCACCCAUGUGUGUAUCUCAGUGCUGCAGCACACAGUUUAGGAACCGCUGGUGUAUAGUAUAAUCCUGUGUAAUAAUGUACUGCAU